UGGUCCAUGAUCGAACCCACGACUUUCAUGUUAUUAGCACGACGCUCUAACCAACUGAGCUAAUGGGCC